GUUGGCCAGGCUGGUCUCGAACUCCUGACCUCUGAUGAUCCACCAGCCUCAGCCUCCCAAAGUGCUGGGAUUACAGGUGUGAGCCACCACGCCCGGCCCCAGUUUUAUUCUUCUUUGCUUAAUUUGGGACUGUGAAGAAGAGCAGGCUUAAAGUAUUUAUUGUUGGCUUUCCUCAGGCUGGAUUUUGAUGAUGAUGGAGAAGGGAACAGUAAAUUUUUGAGGUGUGAUGAUGAUCAGAUGUCUAACGAUAAGGAACGGUUUGCCAGGUCGGAUGAUGAGCAGAGCUCUGCGGAUAAAGAGAGACUUGCCAGGUAGGAGAACAGUGUCUUUUAGCAUGAUGGAGCAGAUGAUGCUGCUUUUUCUAUCCUUUUUCUUACUCUAUCUUUUCUUCCCCUUUCUCUUUGUAUUUUUCCUUAUCUGUGACAAGAGAGGACAAGAUUUUUUAGAAGUUUGAGUGUAGCAGGAACUUUGGCUUCCCCCAUCAGAAAGUGGGUGAGUUGAGGGAACUUUGCUUAGGGAUUUAAGACAUUGCUAUUAAGUUUUUUUCUCUUUUUCUUUAUGUCAGUACUAAGUUUCACAGGACAAAAAGCUCUUAGAAGUAAUGCGGCUGUGCCAGUUGGUGCUUUAACAGGGAAAUACUCUUUUUAUCAGAAAACCACAAAUAUAUCUGUAUUUGUGAUUAGCUCCCAGUAUUUAGGCCUCAGCAUUUACUCCACACCUCUAGGAAACUCACACCUAUUUUCCUAUGAAGACUCACAGCCUAGAUUAUUCUCACAACAGAACUAGUGUUGCUUUGGUGAUAUAAUCCUUUCUUGUGGUAGUUUUCUAGAAAAGUUUUAGUUUCCUUGAUGUGGCUAUUUAAAAGACCAGGUUUCUGUACUUACGUGUCAGAAAUCUGUCAGAUACUAGAAAGUUGAGUGCUUUAUGUUUGAGAGUAGAAUUUUAUGUCUUAGGCAAAGUGUAACAAAAUAUGGGCCUAUGUGAUGAGACCCUUUUUGCCAUUUAGAAAGGAGAGUCGAAUUCUCUUUGGAGACUGUUGUUUGUAAUGCAGAAAUACUGCAGAAGAAACAUGCACAGACUUUUCUGUUUUCUAGUAUCCGUGAUUUGGGGGUGACUUAGGAAAUAGAUCAUUGAUGCUGAUACCUAUUUUUACUAUUUUCCCCCUUUUUUCUACUAUUGCUCUUUAAUCUGGGCCACAAACUCAUUUUGCUGCCAGUUUAACUUGAGCUUCUUACUAACCCUUUCACUAUUCAGAAAAUGGAUUUGGCAUGACGUGGAGAAAACAUUGU